rnacentral:rRNA from 1 species
CCCUUAGGUGUUCUGGGCCGCACGCGCGCUACACUGAAGGAAGCAGCGUGUUAGAGCACCUGGCUUGAAAGAGCUGGGUAAUCCGGUGAAUGUCCUUCGUGAUUGGGAUAGGGACUUGUAAUUAUUUCCCUUGAACGAGGAAUACCUAGUAAGUGCGAGUCAUCAGCUUGCGCUGACUACGUCCCUGCCCCUUGUACACACCGCCCGUCGCACCUACCGAUUGGAUGGUCCGGUGAAGCCUCGGGAUUGUGGUUCUUGCCGCUUUAUUGUGGCGUGACCGCGAGAACUUGUCUAAACCUUAUCAUCUAGAGGAAGGUGAAGUCGUAACA